CUAGAGUUCAGAUGUGUGCUUUUCCAUCUGCUGAGUUAAGGCGCCCAAUGCCGACGCUCAUCAGACCCCAGAAAAGGUGUUGGUUGAUAUAGACAGCAGGACGGUGGCCAUGGAAGUUGGAAUCCGCUAACAAGUGUGUAACAGCUCACCUGCCAAAUCAACUAGUCCUCAAAAUG